rnacentral:lncRNA from 1 species
AGGUUUGAAUAAUGGUCACGUGACGCACUAUUUGGUCACGAGGUCAUUCCGGAAAUUUGGGUUAAUUACGCGAUGUUCUAAUUUUACUCUAAUUCUUCGCCAUGAAAGAUCUGUUUUAAAUGAAUAUUUUAAAUAGAGAAAUAUAGAAUUUUUUUUUGUGGAUUUAUUCCUGUAUGCAGUGUACGAGCUUCAGUCUGAAGGAUGCCAUCAGAUCACCGCAAGGUGAAUGGGGGCCUGAGUGAUAGACCGAGAACCUUUCAUCUCACCCAGUGAGUGUAAAUAGCUGUCAUGUUUGAUUGGCGGUUUGACGUGCACGUGAUGCCCUGGAAGAGGGGAAGAAAUUCAGUGAGGACGCAGUGCAUGAUGGUUUCUCUGUCUGCAAACUAAAGAGGUUGUUUGUGCCAGCAGAAACCAUUCAUGAAAGAUGCACCCCUGAGGCUUACAGAGGUAUACUCCAUCAUCUGCUAAGCAGGACAAAAGAUGACAGCUCUUUGCAAGAGGUUCUUCUCAUGUGUUGCCACAAAAGUUUCUGCCCCCUGUGAUUGAUAAAUACAGCAUUUUGAGUGAGUUUUAAGGUGGCAUGUAUAAAAUGUUGAUUUAAUUUGUCAGGUUGUUGAUGACAACCUAGGCUUUGUUGUUUAGUUGUCAUCAUAGAUUAGUGAAAAAAUCUUAAAACACACUGAACCCCACAGUAGUACUCAAAUGAGUUCAAAUGUUUCCAGUAAUGUGUACGUAGUUGUAUAUAAUUAGCAACCAGCAAUUGGAGGUUAUAGGUAUCACCAGUCUUUACACUAUGUGAGAUUGGCCAGUUGUCACUCAGCAGAUUAAACCAAAAGCAUGUCUCCU